rnacentral:tRNA from 5 species
GCCGAUGUGGUGAAACUGGUAAACACGCACGACUCAAACUCGUGUGCCUCACGGCUUGUGGGUCCGAGUCCCACCAUCGGCACAA